rnacentral:misc_RNA from 1 species
GAAGAAUUAGGCAUGUCUUUCCUGUCUUCUGUCAGCUCCAACAAAUUGGUUGCCAUGAUUCAUGGUCUGAAAAUUUUCUCGGUGACAUAUUGAGAGGAAUGUGGUGAAAAUGUUGAUCUAGCUUUGGAUGAAUCUUUAAGUGCUUGUUCAUUUCUGAAUAUUCAAAUCAUGUACUUUGGUUCAUCUUUCUUUCUUUCUUUCCCUUUAAAUUUUGCGGUGAGUUAGAUGGCUAGAGGGGUCAAAUUCUUCUCCAUGUAGUUCAUGUGGGACGUUA